GCUCAGGAUGAACGCUGGCGGCGUGCUUAACACAUGCAAGUCGAACGAAGAAGGUUAGAAUGAGAGCUUCGGCAGGAUUUCUUUCCAUCUUAGUGGCGGACGGGUGAGUAACGUGUGGGCAACCUGCCCUGUACUGGGGAAUAAUCAUUGGAAACGAUGACUAAUACCGCAUGUGGUCCUCGGAAGGCAUCUUCUGAGGAAGAAAGGAUUUAUUCGGUACAGGAUGGGCCCGCAUCUGAUUAGCUAGUUGGUGAGAUAACAGCCCACCAAGGCGACGAUCAGUAGCCGACCUGAGAGGGUGAUCGGCCACAUUGGGACUGAGACACGGCCCAAACUCCUACGGGAGGCAGCAGUA
rnacentral:rRNA from 1 species